rnacentral:lncRNA from 1 species
CGCGUUGGGAUCGCGGCGUGCGGCGGCAGACGGAGCCUGGGCUCCCAGCGGCAAGGUGAGGCAGAGCUGCGCUCCUCGCUGAACGCGGGCCGAGCUCGGCGGCUGCGGGGGAGACGCGCAGGAGCCCAGACCGCGACCGAGAGCGGGAGCUAGGCGGGCGGCGGCGGCGGAGGGGGAGCCCGCGAGCCGCCGGGCGGAGAGCCCAAGCCGCGCUGUCGCCGCGCAGGGACGACUUGGCCAACACUCACACACACUCACACACACCCAGCCCGAGCGGGCGCUCGCGGCGAACCGUCAACAUGGCGCUGGGGCUCCUGCCCGAGCGCGGGCGGCGGCGGCAGCGCGGGAGCUGCUGAGCUCGGCCAAGCCCAGUCCAGCUGCGGGAGCCCGGAGGAUCGCACGGGG